GCGGCGCACCGUACGCGUGAGAAUAGUUCGCGUCGUAUUCACGGUGCCAAGAAGUCGAAAUAAAAUAAAGAAAACACCGCCUGCCGUCGGUUUACGACUGUCAACGAUCGACUAACGUGACCGUGAACAAACAUCAUCGAUUCCCGCGACUACCUGGUAAAUCGUUGAAAUACUUAUCCAUGGAAUCAUCGUUGGUCGGGUGAAAUCAGACCAAGUGUGCGGAUUAAGGAGGAAAACGCUGGGAGACGAACGAUCGUGAGUUGGGAGCUCGGAUAAAGUCAAUUCGAAACGAGUGGCGUCGUUAAGCUUCGUUGGACACGGGGACCACCAGGAAGUAUUCGAAAGUAGCCGGAAUUCUGUCAUCGUCCCUGAGUCACACCGGAAUCGAAGAAGAGGCGAUGAUCAUGAUACAUCCUGGAAACAUGCUGUCCUUACGUUGCUGCGUGAAACCAGAAAUGUACCAUGCUUCCUUCCCGAGCAUUCAACUGUCCUACCGGUCGCCGAUCUGAACAGUCGGCGGAUGGACGUGGUAUCAGCUGGGAAGUCCCAACACGGAGCAAAGGACGAGCUGGGAAUUCGUCGUCGACGUCGACGUAACGGCAAGUUGACGAAAGUCGGUAGAUUCGCUCGUAGGAAACGCGAGCGGAAGAAGAGUGAGACACGUUUACGAGUCAGGAAGGGUGAAAGAAGAGGAAGGGGAUCGAGCUCGCGGGAAGAGAAGAAAAAAGAAAAGAAAAGUUGUGGCAUUGAGUAAACCGUGAUUCCUCCAAGAACACGUAUAAUCGCGUGUUCGCCUCGCUUGAUUCUUCACUGCCAUCCGUGUUCAUUGAUUAGAUUAGACGUCACUGCUAUUGGUGUCCAUUCAGUGGCUGCCUUACCACAUUUUUUUCCUCGUACCGUUGAAUUCACUUGGAUUCCUCGCGCGGUAUCCUUUACGCUUGUUUCUUCCGCGAUUCGAACGCGAGUGCCUCAGUGGAGUCUACGUUGUAUUUCCGGCCGAGCACUCAGUUUCAUUCUUUCGCAUUUCGUGAAAACCAGUGCAAGUGAGAGAAAAUUAUUUGUGCAAGUUUUGCGAAAGGAUUCGUGGUCGCAAGAUGAUUCUACUGCUUCGCACGAUUCCGAUGGUGCUGUUCACUGUGAUGGCUAUGGGAACACCCCGGUCUUCGGUCAUGUACGCGGACGAC